AGGUUAUAGAAACAGAAAAGAAAUGGUGGAAUGUUAAUAUUCUGGACAAGACUAUGGAAUUGAUGUGAAGAGAAAAGGCUAAAAAGUGGAAAAGCUAGUGAUCGAUUCUUUUCUUACAAGCACACAAGAAGUCAACGAUCAACACACAAAGCGAGAGUCGAUGCCUCCAAGAUUGUUGCCAAUGUACAACAGAGAUGGAAAAAUACUUUGCAGAAGCUUACGUCUCACAUGUAAACGGAAUUGAGGAGGUGAAACGCCGAUUUCAACUUCGACAUCUUUCUCUAUCCACGCAAAGGGGUUAUCGGCACGUUAACCUAAUAAAUGCUCGGCUUGACAAAUUAAUACCAGUGAUUUUUUUCAGUGAAAUCGUUGUCACACUAGUAGAAUUUGUAACACUCUACAAUAAUUACAUGAAAUUUGGAAGAACUAAAAAACUUCAACACUUACGGAAACUUCAGAAGACUACUUGUACAUUAUAAUUUAAGCGGUAUUAAACCCGUUAGAUUAAUAACACAAUUAAGGAGUUUAUCCGGCCUAAAUGUGUCCAAUAACGGAAGAAACAAUUCCGAUAUUAUAAUCAUCAGGAAAAUCCGACGUAAUCUUAAUGAUGAUGAUGAGGAUAAAAAGAUUGAUGAGACUUGAAGUGCUUUGAUACUGAUGAGAAAAAUGAAUUGUAUAUUUUUAGGACAGAGUGAUGACGCGGAAUUGAUGUGGCAAAAUUCUACUGAACAUAUAAUAGAUGCUGUUUUAAGCUAGUUUCUGAUUCUACAUGAAAACAAGAACUUUAUCCUACCAUUUGGGAAGAGAAUUUUUAUUCUUCAUUCCUUUCUUCUGAAUCUUCAGAAAUAUGAGUCAUUUAAAUAUCAUCUCACGC